rnacentral:misc_RNA from 1 species
GAUGAAGAACGCAGCGAAAUGCGAUACUUGGUGUGAAUUGCAGAAUCCCGUGAACCAUCGAGUCUUUGAACGCCAGUUGCGCCCGAAGCCAUUAGGCCGAGGGCACGCCUGCCUGGGCGUCACACGUCGUUGCCCCCCCAUCUACUCCUUCGGGAUUGCGGGGGGCGGAUGAUGGCCUCUCGUGCGCCUCGUCGCGCGGUUGGCCUAAAUGCCAAGUCCUCGGCGACGCACGCCACGACAAUCGGUGGUUGCGAAACCUCGGUUGCCUGUCGUGUGCGGUCGUCGCGCAUCGAGGGCUCGAAAAAAUUGCCGGGCUUCGGCUCGACUUUCAACGCGACCCCAGGUCAGGCGGGGUUACCCGCUGAAUUUAAGCAUAUCAAUAAGCGGAGGA